CCGCCUGGCUGGCGCGGUACAGCGCGUCGAUCAUGUUGGGAUCGACCAGGCUGUUGAGCUUGACCCAGAUCGCCGCCGGCCUGCCGGCCC
rnacentral:tRNA from 1 species